UUUCCAAUUCUUUUAUACUUCGGGCAUUCUUCGCGCUAGAUACUUCCCUGACGCUAGACGCAGCGCGCAUGCGCGAGUGGCGGCCAUGUUGUGUUACGCGAGGCACUGCGCGACGUCGUUGCGCGGUGGCACAUUGUUUCCUCGACUUUCGUCGUGACAGGGUCGACCGAUGUAAUUCGUACCGAUAUCCUACGAUCUGGAAUCUAUAUUCUAGAUCACAUGAGAAAUAUCUUUAUCAAAAUCCCUAAAUCCUAUAACUCAAUAUUUCGAAAUUCAUACAACGAUGGGAGCAUACAAUCUCCCUUGUAGACAACAAAGCAGUGGUCGCUAGUCUAUUAACAAGCUACCAUUAUUAAUUCAGCUUCUAUAAUGUACGAAACAAUUCGAAAAGGAUCAACAACCCAACGUUCUCUGAUACAACGAUUGACAUUUCAGAUUUCAGCUUUAUCGUGACUGUUGCAUCCACUAGUCAAUAAUAGAUCAAUAAAUCAUUCGUGAAUCUAGACUUCGACUCGAGCAUAUUUGACGAAAUAGGUGAAAUAGGAUACACCAGUAAAACAAAACAGUUCCAGUGAUGCUCCAACUGCUCCGAAAGGCUGGUAAACUGAGAAAGAGUUCUUUGGAUCUCCCAAUAUCAUUCGUAAUAAAACAACUAUUCCAAGUUGGUCCUGUGGCGCAACGGAUAACGCGUCUGACUACGGAUCAGAAGAUUCCAGGUUCGAAUCCUGGCAGGAUCGGUUAUAUUUUUUUUUUUUUUCUUGUUUGUUUUAAAUACACUUUUACAUUUUCACGUGUUAUAACAUAAUUUUAAGAAAAUCUCCUCGGUUUCAGGGAUCGUUCACACUGUCUGGAGGUGAAACUAUACAGGCAGAGCCAAACGAGAAUAUUACCAACAACGGCGAAACUUUCGAAGAAUCGUGGGAAUUUAAAGGAAGAAACGCGUUACUCGAGUAACUCGACGUUUUCUAUAUUCAGACUUGAAAGUACAA